CGAAUGACCAGUGAAAGAUCGCUUCAGAACACAAGGGUGUUGCACCUGAGCGCGCAAGCUCACGCCGCUUGUUGUCCGUGGAGCUCUCCUGUCAAAAGUUUUCAGGCAGGCCUGAAAAGUUGGGUGAAGCAGAUCGAUGUUGUUUACCGAAAAGAUCAAAAGGAACUCAAAACACACCAACCCAAACGAAAGGACAAUAAGAAUGAUAUCUACCAGAUAAUGUAGUUUGUUUACCAUUGCGUGUCCAAUGCCCGAGUGCUUCACGGAGAAAAAGGAAGGGGCGGGGAGCAGAAAGGAAAAAGAAAAGAACGACAAAGACCGUGAACUCAAUAAGGACUUACACUCAAAAAAGAAUGAUGGAACUUGAGAAGCAUCCGACUCCGGCUCCACAGAAAUCUGGCUCUGCAGCAGCUGCCCUGGCUGGACCCAUCCAAUAAAGCCUGAGGAUCGAGGCCUCUCCGCCGAUAGUCCAGUCAAUCCACCACCAACUAACACAUUUCAGGGUCAUCCGUGCCUUUAGGACCUCGGUGGCUGGAAGAGUGGCCUUUGGCUGGCUUGGAUUUUACUGACCGGAGGUCGUCUCCUAACUAAAAUCUAAAUGGCGAACCGAGGCCGAGAAAGCGGAACAUCUUCCCGGUGGGAAAAGGGUAGGAGAGAAAAUUCCGGAAGUUAUGAUCAAGGGAUGAAGGUGGAGUCGAGUGCAGCAGGUGUCUUACUUUUGUCUCUUGCACUACCAACAGUGGAUCACCCCAGUUGGCUUCCCUUUCUAUUGCUGAACAGUCACCUCCAGUGUAUCUCUGCGUUCUAUCCGAUGGGGAUUAAGAGGAUGGUUUUGGCAGGAGAUUUAGUUAUUUUUGCAGGUUUUAAGCAGGACAGGCUGGGGCUGCAGAUGAGCUGGGUGUCAACGGCAGCACGUAUCCACAGGGGAGUCAUGCUGAGCCUCUUUAAAGGCCACAACUAGAGUAUUGUGUCCAGCUGUUUAGGAAGGAUGCGAGGGUCUUUGAUGUCAUUUAAUAGACAGUGCACGGUCAUGUUAUGGACAGGGCGUGGUCACGUAAUGGGCAAAGGCGCAGUCAUGUAAUGGACAGGGGCACAGUCAUGUAAUGAACAGGGCACGGUCAUGUAAUGAACAGGGCACGGUCAUGUAAUGGGCAAAGGCACGGUCAUGUAAUGGGCAAAGGCACGGUCAUGUAAUGGGCAAAGGCGCAGUCAUGUAAUGGACAGGGGCACAGUCAUGUAUGGCACAGGGUGCAGUCAUGUAAUGGAUAGGGGCACAAUCAUGUAAUGGAUAGGGGUGCAAUCAUGUAAUGGGUAGUGGUGCGGUCAUGUAAUUGACAGAGCGCAGUCCUGUAACGGACAGGGGCGCGGUCCUGUAACGGACGGGGGCGCGGUCCUGUAACGGACGGGGGCGCUGUCGUGUAACGGACGGGGGCGCUGU